CUGCCAGUGAUAAACUGGAGGAAGUGGGGAUGACGUCAAGUCAUCAUGGCCCUUACGGCCAGGGCUACACACGUGCUACAAUGGCGCAUACAAAGAGAAGCGACCUCGCGAGAGCAAGCGGACCUCAUAAAGUGCGUCGUAGUCCGGAUUGGAGUCUGCAACUCGACUCCAUGAAGUCGGAAUCGCUAGUAAUCGUGGAUCAGAAUGCCACGGUGAAUACGUUCCCGGGCCUU
rnacentral:rRNA from 1 species